rnacentral:rRNA from 1 species
CCUACGGGGGGCAGCAGUGGGGAACUUUGGACAAUGGACGCAAGUCUGAUCCAGCCAUUCCGCGUGCAGGAUGAAGGCCCUCGGGUUGUAAACUGCUUUUGUACGGAACGAAAAGCCGCUUUCUAAUACAGAGCGGUCAUGACGGUACCGUAAGAAUAAGCACCGGCUAACUACGUGCCAGCAGCCGCGGUAAUACGUAGGGUGCAAGCGUUAAUCGGAAUUACUGGGCGUAAAGCGUGCGCAGGCGGUUAUGUAAGACAGAUGUGAAAUCCCCGGGCUCAACCUGGGAACUGCAUUUGUGACUGCAUAGCUAGAGUACGGUAGAGGGGGAUGGAAUUCCGCGUGUAGCAGUGAAAUGCGUAGAUAUGCGGAGGAACACCGAUGGCGAAGGCAAUCCCCUGGACCUGUACUGACGCUCAUGCACGAAAGCGUGGGGAGCAAACAGGAUUAGAUACCCUGGUAGUCCACGCCCUAAACGAUGUCAACUGGUUGUUGGGUCUUCACUGACUCAGUAACGAAGCUAACGCGUGAAGUUGACCGCCUGGGGAGUACGGCCGCAAGGUUGAANCUCAAAGGAAUUGACGGGGACCCNCACAAGCGGNGGAUGAUGUGGUUUAAUUCGAUGCAACNCGAAAAACCUUACNUACCCUUGACNUGUCUGGAAUCCCCCAAAAAUNUGGGANUGCCCNAAAGGGAACCANAACANAGGUGCUNCAUGGU